GAAAAACUGAACAUUUGCUAUCUAACUGAGAGUCUCCUCAUUGAAAACAUCUGAAGUUCUUCAAAGGUAUUCUGCUUCUCAGAAACCCUGGGACUGUGAGUACUGGGACCGUCGCCUCCCCCUCAGUCAUUUCAUGUCUGAGAGUUAUGGGAGUCGAGAGUCUCUCUACACAGUGAUGUCCAGACGCAGAACGAACAGUUAUCUUAUCCCCUGAGGGAUGAAUCCCUUGUGGUGCAUCCUCACUGUAUAUGGCUGUCCUGCAUGCCCCCGUAUCACACAGAAAUGUAAUUAUCUUUCCCAUAACUGACUCUCCAUUGCUACGAAAUAGCUCUCCAAACUUUUGUUUCCUGGACAAUGACCAGCCCGUCAUGGGAUCCUCAACGGUUCUCUAACCUCCCAGAGACCACAGCAAAAUCAAGCUUCUCAGGAACUACAGACCUUCCACUGUUUUCUAAUAUAUCAUCCAGCUCUCAAUACCACCCCGUGAUAUUCUAUGAUGGGCUCUGUGAAGGAACAGAGCCGCCAGUCAGCCAGGAUCUGCCAGAGCCGCCAGUCAGCCAGAAUCUGCCAGAGCCGCCAUUCAACCAGGAUCCGCCAGAGCCGCCAUUCAGCCAGGAUCCGCCAGAGCCGCCAGUCAGCCAGGAUCCGCCAGAGCCGCCAGUCAGCCAGGAUCCGCCAGAGCCGCCAGUCAGCCAGGAUCCGCCAGAGCCGCCAGUCAGCCAGGAGCUGCCAGAGCCGUCAGUCAGCCAGGAGCUGCCAGAGCCAUCAGUCACCCAGAAGCUGCCAGAGCCGUCAACCAGCCUGAGCUACCUCUCAGUCCUGAGCUACCUCUCAGUCCUGAGCUACCUCUCAGUCCUGAGCUACC
ensembl:lncRNA